UCAACACAAUGGAUUAUUUCUACGCUUGUACGUAUUAUCUAAAUCGAGAAAAUGGCAUCGAGAGUGUCUCUAGAAGCUUUGGAGGUUCGUGUACGCGAACUGGAAUUCAGCAGCAGUCGUCUAUCACAGAGAGAGAAACAGAACGUCCCACGACCUUAUCAGCAAUCCAUUAGGGCAGUGGUGGAAAAAUUGAAGAAGGCGACCGAUGACCAACUGAUUUUGACCUACAACAGAAGCUUUUUGGUGGGUGUGGACCAACAAGAGGGAUGACCUGAGAAGACAACAAAGUGGAAAGGCAGAGGCCCACAGGUUGUCUGCUAAGAACAGCAAAAGGGUCAGAUCAAAACUGGAAAGCAGGCUGAAGGCCAUUGCAACCAUAGACUGGCCGGAGAAGAAGAAGGAGAAAGUUCUACCUCUCUAGAGGGAAGAGCUGACAUCACCCAUGGUGUCAGACGAAGAGGAUGAAAAUCUUCUCUUGUCAACUGCUUUCUGGUGGGAAACCAAGACACUUUGUUCAUAUAAGCGACAAUUGGACAACCAGCGGUUGUUCAAGGCUACUGCAAGGGGCCGAAAAAUAUGAAGAUGUGGGAAGACAUCCCACACAAGUCCAACACGCUGAUCUGCCACUGGACAUGCCCAGUUGGGCAGUGAAAAGUUCAGCAGAAGAAGACCAGCUGAACAACACUGCUGAUUUUGAUUCCUGAGACACAUUUCUGAUGUCCCAUGCUGUGAUGUUGCUUGAAUAUUGCUAAAAGCGGAGUAAAACUAUACUCACUUACUCUUAUGUCCCUGAUGUUAUGUACAUGUAGCUAGAUACAUAAUUAAUUAACCAUGUUCACAAUCAAAGAGUUUUGACUGUCAAUAAACUUUUCAUUCAUU